UACGAACUGUGCAAACGUUAUUCGGAAUCACUGGGCUUAAAGGGUGCGUAGGCGGCUGUCUAAGCAGGGUGUGAAAGCCCCCGGCUCAACCGGGGAAUUGCGUUCUGAACUGGACGGCUGGAGUGGGAUAGAGGUGUGCGGAACUUCCGGUGGAGCGGUGAAAUGUGUUGAUAUCGGAAGGAACGCCGGUGGCGAAAGCGGCACACUGGGUCUCAACUGACGCUGAGGCACGAAAGCCAGGGGAGCGAACGGG
rnacentral:rRNA from 1 species